rnacentral:rRNA from 1 species
UACAGAGGGUGCGAGCGUUGUCCGGAAUCACUGGGCGUAAAGGGCGCGUAGGUGGCGGCCCAAGUCCAUGGUGAAAGCUCGAUGCUCAACAUCGAGUCGGCCACGGAUACUGGGUUGCUCGAGCACUGUAGGGGCAGAUGGAAUUCCGGGUGUAGCGGUGGAAUGCGUAGAGAUCCGGAAGAACACCGGUGGCGAAGGCGGUCUGCUGGGCAGUUGCUGACACCGAGGCGCGACAGCGUGGGGAGCAAACAGG